rnacentral:tRNA from 1 species
GGGCGAUUAGCUCAGCUGGCUAGAGCGCCACGUUCACAUCGUGGAAGUCGGAGGUUCAAGUCCUCUAUCGCCCA